rnacentral:sRNA from 1 species
AUUGCUAGUUCUUUGCCAUCGUGGGCUUGAGACCUUAUCUGCCCUGAAGAGAAUCACCCUGAAGGUCUGUAUCAGGCACCAGGACCCUCAUAGUCUUUUAGGCUCAGCUCAGGCCUUGAGUUACAUUUUUUUAUAGCACUUAAUGAUUUUUCUUUAUUGCUUUCGAGCUCUGCUGUGUACUAAAUUCUUCUUGUUCUAUUUUAUUGAACAUUUAUGUGUUUGCUGUUGUAUGAGGCACUUCCCUUGUUAACUUCCAUCCCUUGUUAACUUCCAUCCAGCAUAUUGACCAGAGGUUACAGUCAUCUUUCUAAAACUCCAUAUGAUCCUUUCACUCCCUCACCUGAUGUUUGUGGACUUGUUAGCACUGUGUCAUUUAUUCCUCCCACAGAUACUUGUUGUGCAUAAUCUCUGUGCUAAGAACUGGGGUUACCACAGUGAGAAAGAUAUCAGGUCUCUGCCUUCGUGGAGUUUACUAUUCUAGUUGGACAGACAGAAAAUAAACUUGUAAACAAAUAAAUGAAAAUAUUAACUAGUUUUGUGAAAAAUGCUCUGAAGGAAAUAGAGUGAUGGAGAGUCAGUGUUUGAGGGGUUACUUUAGAGAAGACACUCGGGGAAGACCUCACUGAAGAGUGACAUUUAAGCAGAAAUCAGAAGGCUGAGGAAAGCCAGUCCUACAAAUAGUAGCAGGAGUGCUUGGGGUUGAGGGCUAGUUCCAGGCAGUGGAAACAGCAAGUACAAAGACCCAGAGAUGGGGAAACCCCGGGCGUGUUAGAGUGACCGAGAUGGCGCCUAUAUGGCCCUAAUGAGGGCAGACUGCUCCCCAGAGAAGUUAGGCGUGCAGGUGGGCCCCAAGUCCCAUCUCCCCUCACUCUGUCAUCUUUUCACUCUGAUUCUUUCCUAAACUUGCCUGUGCAGAGUACUUCCUUUGUAAAGCCCCUCUCACUAUUGCAGUUCCCACUGCACUUCGCUUUUACCAUUAAUCAGAAUGUAAUAUGGACACUUGUUUUCAGGACAAUGUUCUCCAAUAGACCUUGAGCUUCUGUCAGAAGAUAUCUUAUUCACCUUUGGCAUCCCCAGCUUAUAGCGCAGUGCUUUACAUGGCGGGAACAUCAUAAAUGUUGAUUCAAUAAACGUAUUUUUUUUAGCAGUUCAUGCUUAGACCCUCCUUUCCAAUAACUUUAUAACUUCUCAUAGCUAAUAUUUUCGUGGUAUUUAAACCAUAAGUGUAAAGAAAACCAGCAACCUAGAGGAAUGUGUUUGCUUAAGACUUGUCUCCGAUGCUGAAAAGGAAAACCAGGAGAGGUAGUGCGGUGUGCUGUUCCUCUGCUGUGAGUUGAAUGGUGGUCCCCAAAAAUAUAUGUCCACAUCCUCACCCCUGGAAUCUGUGACCAUGACCUUGUUUGACAAAAGGGUCUUUGCAGAUUUAAUUAAGUUAAGCAUCUCAAGAUAAUACUAGAUUAUUUGUACAGACCCUAAAUCCAAUGACAAGUACCGUUAUAAGAGACAGAAAAGGUGAAGACAGACACAGGAGAAAGCCAUGGGAAGAUGGAGGCAGAGACUGGAGUUGUGAGUUAAAAGCCAGUGAAUGGUGCCUGGAGCUACCAGAAGCUGGAAGAGGCAGGGAAAGAUUCUCCCCUAGAGCACUCAUCCCCAAUCUUUUUGGUACCAGGGACUGGUUUCAUGGAAGACAAUUUUUCCACAGGGGGAUGCAGGGGGGUGGUUUCCGGAUGAAACUGUUCCACCUCAGAUCUUCAGGCAUUAGAUUCUCAUAAGGAGCCUGCAACCUAGAUGCUUCGCACGUGCAAUUCACAAUAGGGUUCGUGCUCCUGUGAGAACCUAAUGCCGCUGCCACUGAUAGGACAGGAGGCGAAGCUCAGGCGGUAAGGCUGGCUUGCCUGCUGCUCACCUCCUGCUGUGCAGCCCAGUUCCUAAAAGGCCAUGGACCAGUACCAGUCCAUGGCCCAGGGGUUGGGGACCCCUGCCCUAGAGCCUUUGGAGGGAGCACAGCCCUGCUGACACCUUUAUUUUGGAUUGCUGGCCUGUGAGAAAAUAAAUUUCUAUUUUGAGCUGCUAAUUAGGAAACUAAUAGAUACCCCAUCGCGCUUAUAUCUCACUUACCCAUUCUGUAACAUGGCUAUAGUAAUACCUUUCUCAGAAGCUUUGCGCCGGGAUUCAAUGAGAUAUGUUUGUACGGCACUUAGCACACAGUAAAUGUUCAAAAAUAGUGAUGGCUGUUCCUCUUCUUUAAGGACUGAGAGUUUUCAUCCUCUUGAAUAAGAACUCGACAACAGAGUGGGAACUUUCUGUCUUGUGAUCGAUUGCCUGGUGAGUCACAGCUCACACCAUGGAUUUAACCUGAGAGCUUCAACUUCUGCUUUGGCCCUGGAGUUCCCAUGCCCUGGUGUCUUCUACCAGUUCUUAGGUAGGGUUUUGUAUCCAGAGAGGGUUCAGCUUUCUCCCGUGGGCUGGGGGAAGAGGUCAAAGUCGAACUCAGGUACCAAAUUUGAAAGGAAACACUCAGAAAAAACUUCUGAGCGCAGAGCGGAAAACACCCUCUCAGUCCCCACCAAAGAGAAAAGCUUUGGGUUCUAAAUUUCCAGUUUCCAUUAAGGGACUCUGGGACUGGACAUUUCUGAAAAUUAAUGACCUGUACUGAGUAAUCCUCCCAACACACUGAUCAUCAAAAAAUAACCUGUAAUGAGUUUAGGCUUUCUGUAUUUGUCUGAAUGCUUUCACGGGAGUGUGUCACAGGAAGGCGGCACUGGAGCACAGAGGACACUUGAUCGUGCGGCGCGCAGGGCGGGGGGCCGCCGCUGCCUCCCCGCGGGAUGGCUGGCACUGUGCUCGGAGUCGGUGCGGGCGUGUUCAUCUUAGCCCUGCUCUGGGUGGCAGUGCUGCUGCUGUGUGUGCUGCUGUCCAGAGCCUCCGGGGCGGCGAGGUAAGGCAUUCUGUCCAACUGGGAGUCCUAGGUAAAGCAAUUAGAGGCAAAAUCGCUGAUGCUCACUAAACAUUUAGAAUUUAAGAGAUCAGUUUUGUAAUUACUGGCAGUUUGAAUGAGUUGCAUUUUAACCUCUUUUUAUAAACACUAACUGUGUUAUUUAUGCUCUGGAGCAGAGAUGGGAGGAGAAGGAAGUAGUGUUCUUGAGUUCUAACUGUGGCAAGAAAUUCUGCUUUCACUGCUUAUUGAGUUUCUCGAGGUUGUAUGUGUUUAUGAAUUGUUCAGAUUUAUGGCAGAGGCUUGGUCCAGUCCCCGAGGCUCUAGCCCUGGACCCAGGAAAACGAAAGCAACAUUUGAUGAGUUGGGCCUGCUUUCUAUAUCAGGCAUCGCCUUCAGAACAGGGUUAGGCCAUAAACCGACUCUGAAAACACUAGAGUUGCACUCUGGCAAGACAGUGUUAGUAUGAAGCAGAGUUGUAGAAUUUUCUAAAGUAUUCUGUUCUAAAAGCAAUGGAAGUGGAGGUGGAGAGGGGAUGCUUUGGUUUUUCUUGAUUAUGACUUUGGGCAGAAGUAAAAAUAAAAACUACACAUUUCCAUUCCUAGGAAUUGGGAAUUACCAAGAAUAAAUGGGAAUGCACCCAGCUGGUACCUGUCUAGGAAGAAGGACUUUGGGUUGAAGAGGUUGUUGACAGCAGGCCUCUGGACAUUGUUAAGGGACUGAAACAUAGAAUAUUGGCUCCAAGGAAGAGACUGUCCAGACCUAACUGAUCAAAGAAGAAAUUGUAGACAGUGCUUUUAAUAAUUUGUCUUUUCAACCCCAGGUUCUCUGUCAUUUUUUUAUUCUUCGGUGCUGUGAUCAUCACAUCAGUUCUGUUGCUUUUCCCGCGAGCUGGUGAAUUCCCAGCCCCAGAGGUGGAAGUUAAGAUUGUGGAUGACUUUUUCAUUGGCCGCUAUGUCCUGCUGGCUUUCCUUAGUGCCAUCUUCCUUGGAGGCCUCUUCUUGGUUUUAAUCCAUUAUGUUCUGGAGCCGAUCUAUGCCAAACCACUGCACUCCUACUGACCACUCUUCAGGAAAACGAAAACCUGUUCUCUCCUUCAUUGUGAUGACAUUGAUGAGCAGGAAGGCACUAUUCAGAGCCUUGUUUUGACAGCCCUCAUGCCUUAAGGUUAGAGGAGUAUCCGUCCAUCACUAAGACAAAUCUCUUGAGUCCUGGCUUCCAGAAACAGGAUUGCCAAAUUGUCCCUGUGGGGCUAGAUUCUUACCAGCUUAAGAAGGAUAUUGCUAUCUUCUUAGUACCCGUACCUUAGGAUUUCCAACUGUUUUGAAAGGGAAAUAGUAACAGUGAUCUGCUUAGAGUGGAUUUUCACUCAAGUCCUUAGUAAGUGGAUUUUGGGGGAAAAAGCACAAGGGCUUCUGGUUCUUUUUGAUAAUAUAUAAAAUUCUUCAUUAUGAGGUUGCAGUCGUUUGCAAAGGAGAGGCACUCAAAUUUGAAAGGUUAUUUUAAUGUGAUAAUUUGGAAGACUUACUCAGAUGUUGGUCAUUGACCACUCCGUGCAUAUAUUUCUGCAGAGCUCUAUGAAGGCAAUGAGUGUCACUUCCCUCUGCUCUAAUAAAGCAAUAAAUAAUAGCU